rnacentral:rRNA from 1 species
ACAAUGAAGAGUUUGAUCCUGGCUCAGGAUGAACGCUAGCUACAGGCUUAACACAUGCAAGUCGAGGGGCAGCAUGGUCUUAGCUUGCUAAGGCCGAUGGCGACCGGCGCACGGGUGAGUAACACGUAUCCAACCUGCCGUCUACUCUUGGACAGCCUUCUGAAAGGAAGAUUAAUACAAGAUGGCAUCAUGAGUCCGCAUGUUCACAUGAUUAAAGGUAUUCCGGUAGACGAUGGGGAUGCGUUCCAUUAGAUAGUAGGCGGGGUAACGGCCCACCUAGUCUUCGAUGGAUAGGGGUUCUGAGAGGAAGGUCCCCCACAUUGGAACUGAGACACGGUCCAAACUCCUACGGGAGGCAGCAGUGAGGAAUAUUGGUCAAUGGGCGAGAGCCUGAACCAGCCAAGUAGCGUGAAGGAUGACUGCCCUAUGGGUUGUAAACUUCUUUUAUAAAGGAAUAAAGUCGGGUAUGCAUACCCGUUUGCAUGUACUUUAUGAAUAAGGAUCGGCUAACUCCGUGCCAGCAGCCGCGGUAAUACGGAGGAUCCGAGCGUUAUCCGGAUUUAUUGGGUUUAAAGGGAGCGUAGAUGGAUGUUUAAGUCAGUUGUGAAAGUUUGCGGCUCAACCGUAAAAUUGCAGUUGAUACUGGAUAUCUUGAGUGCAGUUGAGGCAGGCGGAAUUCGUGGUGUAGCGGUGAAAUGCUUAGAUAUCACGAAGAACUCCGAUUGCGAAGGCAGCCUGCUAAGCUGCAACUGACAUUGAGGCUCGAAAGUGUGGGUAUCAAACAGGAUUAGAUACCCUGGUAGUCCACACGGUAAACGAUGAAUACUCGCUGUUUGCGAUAUACAGCAAGCGGCCAAGCGAAAGCGUUAAGUAUUCCACCUGGGGAGUACGCCGGCAACGGUGAAACUCAAAGGAAUUGACGGGGGCCCGCACAAGCGGAGGAACAUGUGGUUUAAUUCGAUGAUACGCGAGGAACCUUACCCGGGCUUAAAUUGCAGAUGAAUUACGGUGAAAGCCGUAAGCCGCAAGGCAUCUGUGAAGGUGCUGCAUGGUUGUCGUCAGCUCGUGCCGUGAGGUGUCGGCUUAAGUGCCAUAACGAGCGCAACCCUUGUUGUCAGUUACUAACAGGUUCCGCUGAGGACUCUGACAAGACUGCCAUCGUAAGAUGUGAGGAAGGUGGGGAUGACGUCAAAUCAGCACGGCCCUUACGUCCGGGGCUACACACGUGUUACAAUGGGGGGUACAGAGGGCCGCUACCACGCGAGUGGAUGCCAAUCCCCAAAACCUCUCUCAGUUCGGACUGGAGUCUGCAACCCGACUCCACGAAGCUGGAUUCGCUAGUAAUCGCGCAUCAGCCACGGCGCGGUGAAUACGUUCCCGGGCCUUGUACACACCGCCCGUCAAGCCAUGGGAGCCGGGGGUACCUGAAGUGCGUAACCGCGAGGAGCGCCCUAGGGUAAAACUGGUGACUGGGGCUAAGUCGUAACAAGGUAGCCGUACCGGAAGGUGCGGCUGGAACACCUCCUUU